rnacentral:rRNA from 1 species
GACGAACGCUGGCGGCGUGCCUAAUACAUGCAAGUAGAACGCACAGUUCAUACAGUGGCUUGCUCCACCAUAGACCGCGAGUUGCGAAGGGGUGAGUACCGCGUAGGCAACCAGACAGGAAUCGUGGUAUAAGUAGUGGAAACGAUAGCAAAUACCGCAUCAUAUUAAUUAUCGCAUGAUAAUUAAGCGAAAGGUGCAAUUGCACCACUACCUGAUGGCCGUGCGUUGUAUUAGCUAGUAGGUGAGGUAGCGGCUCACCUAGGCGAGGAUACAUAGCCGACCGGAGAGGGUGAUCGGCCACACUGGGACUGGGACACGGCCCAGACUCCUACGGGAGGCAGCAGUAGGGAAUCUUCGGCAAUGGACGAAAGUCUGACCGAGCAACGCCGCGUGAGUGAAGAAGGUUUUCGGAUCGCAAAGCUCUGUUGUAAGAGAAGAACGGGUGUGAGAGUGGAAAGUUCACACUGUGACGGUAUCUUACCAGAAAGGGACGGCUAACUACGUG